GUGGAUUAGUGGCGAACGGGUGAGUAACACNUGGGCAAUCUGCCCUGCACUCUGGGACAAGCCCUGGAAACGGGGUCUAAUACCGGAUAUGAUCACCGGCCGCAUGGUCUGGUGGUGGAAAGCUCCGGCGGUGCAGGAUGAGCCCGCGGCCUAUCAGCUUGUUGGUGGGGUGAUGGCCUACCAAGGCGACGACGGGUAGCCGGCCUGAGAGGGCGACCGGCCACACUGGGACUGAGACACGGCCCAGACUCCUACGGGAGGCAGCAGUGGGGAAUAUUGCACAAUGGGCGAAAGCCUGAUGCAGCGACGCCGCGUGAGGGAUGACGGCCUUCGGGUUGUAAACCUCUUUCAGCAGGGAAGAAGCGAGAGUGACGGUACCUGCAGAAGAAGCGCCGGCUAACUACGUGCCAGCAGCCGCGGUAAUACGUAGGGCGCAAGCGUUGUCCGGAAUUAUUGGGCGUAAAGAGCUCGUAGGCGGCUUGUCACGUCGGAUGUGAAAGCCCGGGGCUUAACCCCGGGUCUGCAUUCGAUACGGGCAGGCUAGAGUUCGGUAGGGGAGAUCGGAAUUCCUGGUGUAGCGGUGAAAUGCGCAGAUAUCAGGAGGAACACCGGUGGCGAANGCGGAUCUCUGGGCCGAUACUGACGCUNAGGAGCGAAAGCNUGGGGAGCG
rnacentral:rRNA from 2 species